rnacentral:rRNA from 1 species
CCUACGGGUGGCUGCAGUGGGGAAUUUUGGACAAUGGGCGAAAGCCUGAUCCAGCAAUGCCGCGUGAGUGAAGAAGGCCUUCGGGUUGUAAAGCUCUUUUGUUUGGGAAGAAAUCCCUAAGGAUAAUACCCGUGGGGGAUGACGGUACCAAAAGAAUAAGCACCGGCUAACUACGUGCCAGCAGCCGCGGUAAUACGUAGGGUGCGAGCGUUAAGCGGAGUUACUGGGCGGGAUUUGUGCGCACGCGGGUGAAAUCCCCGGGCUCAACUUGGGAACUGCACUUGUGACUGCAAGACUAGAGUGUGUCAGAGGGAGGUAGAAUUCCACGUGUAGCAGUGAAAUGCGUAGAUAUGUGGAGGAAUACCAGUGGCGAAGGCGGCCUCCUGGGAUAACACUGACGCUCAUGUACGAAAGCGUGGGGAGCAAACAGGAUUAGAUACCCCAGUAGUC